UACGUAGGGGGCAAGCGUUGUCCGGAUUUAUUGGGCGUAAAGAGCGUGUAGGCGGCCAUACAGGUCAGCUGUGAAAACUCGAGGCUCAACCUCGAGACGUCGGUUGAAACCGUAUGGCUAGAGUCCGGAAGAGGAGAGUGGAAUUCCCGGUGUAGCGGUGAAAUGCGCAGAUAUCGGGAAGAACACCCGUGGCGAAAGCGGCUCACUGGACCAUAACUGACGCUGAGGCGCGAAAAGCUAGGGGAGCAAACAGG
rnacentral:rRNA from 1 species